AGAGCCAUAUAAAACUAAGGAGAAACCAUUUUAGGAUGAGGGAACAAACCCUGAAGGUGUGAACAAGCUCGGUGCAUCUAGACAUGUAAGGAAGGUUCCAGCAUGUGAAGGAGCGAGGACGGAGAAGGGUCCGGUGAGGUCUUACAGCAACAGAGGGUCCAGCCACAUGAGGCUGAGCAGCCAAGAAUGUGACUUUUUGGAGACACGGUCUUUAGAGAGGUGAUAACAUUGAAACGAGGUCAAGAGGUUGAGCCCUAAACCAGUCUGAUCGGCAUCCCUAUGAGGAGAGGAGAUGAGGACACAGACACACACAAAGGGAAGGCCAUGUGAGGGAGGACGCAGGGAGAAGACAGCCAUCCGCAAGCCAAGCAGAGAGGCUUAGGGAGAGACCAUUUGUGCUGACACCUUGAUCUCGAACUUCCAGCCUUCA
rnacentral:lncRNA from 1 species